rnacentral:snRNA from 1 species
GUGCUGUCUUCAGCAGCACAUAUACUUAAAUUGGAAUGACACAGAGAAGAUUAGCAUGCCCCUGUGCAAGGAUGACAUGCAAAUUGGUGAAGUAUUCCACAUAUUU